UUCUUAAUUGCUCUUUUCUUUUUAGAUUAAAUAUUGAAAUUUGCUAUUUGAAUUAGUGAGUGCUUUAAAAUAUGUAUCCUGUGCAUUUUUUAUGAGAUUUUGAAGAGCAGUAUUCAAAUUAUAUUUUACUUCUCAGUUUCAGCGAAAACAUUGUUAGGAAAUUAUGGGCAUAUAAUCCAUUUAUUUAUGAAUUUGCAAUUUUUGAUUAGAUAACAAUCUAAAUAACUACUGGGUUUUUUUAAAAUCCUUUUUCUUUGACUUUUAGUCGUAAGAAAUAAUUUGUUUUGAGUAAAUAAUUUCGACGACUAUUUUUCCCAGAUUUAUCAUAAUGUAAUAGAGUCUUAUACUUAUGUUUAGCUCUAUAUUCUCCCUGUUUCAAUUCAAUAAAUCUAAUUUGUAAACGAUGAUCUUAUCUGUAUUCUAUGAUUUGUUGGAUCGUUUGUUGUUGAUGCUUGUUUGUGUAUAGAUGUUGAUGCUUAUAAUUAUGGGUACAUGUGCUAGGUAUGCUUUUGAGCAAUUGGUGGUAUGUGACUAUAAUUAAAUACAUUAAUAUGUCCUCAAAUUGCCUACGGAAGGUCUUAUAUAUUUGAUGGUAAUUUGAUGUAUAUGAAUAUAGUUUCAACAUGGGUGAUCACAGAGUUAGGAAUAAGGAUCCAAUGUCAUGGAUGAUUCCAUUGAUGAAUUAGCAACAUUUAUCAAUUAAGCAAUUUAUUUAUUUAGUUCUGCAUUUGAUACAGUCGGAGUAGGAACCAACUGUGUCAAUUAAGCAAUUUAUUUAUUUAGUUCUUUUCAUCAACUUGAGUUGUUCUUAACCUGCUAUAGCUGGAAAAAUGAGGGUGGUGAGUUGGAAUAAUGCUUGCUAAUAUGGUUAAACUUUUUGCAUAGGAUUUUGUCAUGUUCUUGCCAUUAUGAGUUGCACCCUUAAUAAAUAUCACAUCAAUUUGGUCCAAGAAUAGCAUUAUUUUUUUGUUAAUUCCUAGAUUUUGUUAUGGUUUUCUGUGAUUUUUUUUUUUUUUUUUUUUUUUUUUUUUUUUUUUUUUUUUUUUUUUUUUUGGAUGAAUUAGGCUUAUCUUUAUUUCGAGAUUUGACUCUCUGCCUAUUAUGUUAUUACGGGAAACCAGUAGCUGUGGAAAUUAAAUGGAACUUAUAAUUUGGGAUUUAGUUGAUUUGGAAAUACGGAAAUUGAAUUGAACUUUGAUUUUUGAGUUUCAGGUCUUUUGCAUGUUUAAAUUUUGAAAAGUAGCUUAUUGUUGUAAGUUAUUCAUUAUAAGAAGAAAAAAAUGAUGGUUGUAUGUAUAUGAUUUAUUGGAUUUGUGUUGAUUGAAUCAAUUAGCAGCAACUACAACAAGAAAUUGGUAGAUUGAAUAUGUAAUGGACUGGAUUUUCUGAAUCUUGAGCAAGGAGAGAGAAAAUUAUCGUUUUUGUGGUGUUGGGACAGAAAGCAAUGUUGUCCGAGAGUGGUGACCAUCAGACGGUCCCAUUAUCAGUGUUGUUAAAGCGGGAAUUGGCUAAUGAGAAGCUGGAGAAUCCUGAGAUUUUGCACGAUGAAAUGUUGAGCUCUCAUGUGAGACGUGGAUGAGGUUCUUACACUUUCUCAUUCAGCUGAUGAUUUCACGGGUCAAAUAAGAGAUAAAAGGAUAUGGAACUUUAUGAUUUGAAGUAUAAGAAGAAACGAAAUUUUUUUAUUUUUUCUAUAUGAUACAUGAUUGUAAGUAUAAGACUACAUACAUUGGUGAUGUACAAUUCAAUAUAGAAGGGAUUGUUUCACAUUUGUACAUACAAAUGUAUUAUUUGCAUCAAAAUGACUAUACACGUUUGAAGAAAUUUGUA